GGUGAACGCUGGCGGCGUGCCUAAUACAUGCAAGUCGAGCGAACGGACGAGAAGCUUGCUUUUCUGAUGUUAGCGGCGGACGGGUGAGUAACACGUGGAUAACCUACCUAUAAGACUGGGAUAACUUCGGGAAACCGGAGCUAAUACCGGAUAAUAUUUUGAACCGCAUGGUUCAAAAGUGAAAGACGGUCUUGCUGUCACUUAUAGAUGGAUCCGCGCUGCAUUAGCUAGUUGGUAAGGUAACGGCUUACCAAGGCAACGAUGCAUAGCCGACCUGAGAGGGUGAUCGGCCACACUGGAACUGAGACACGGUCCAGACUCCUACGGGAGGCAGCAGUAGGGAAUCUUCCGCAAUGGGCGAAAGCCUGACGGAGCAACGCCGCGUGAGUGAUGAAGGUCUUCGGAUCGUAAAACUCUGUUAUUAGGGAAGAACAUAUGUGUAAGUAACUGUGAACAUCUUGACGGUACCUAAUCAGAAAGCCACGGCUAACUACGUG
rnacentral:rRNA from 1 species